rnacentral:rRNA from 1 species
CUACGGGUCGCUCCAGUGAGGAAUAUUGCACAAUGGGGGGAACCCUGAUGCAGCCACGCCGCGUGGAGGAUGACGCAUUUCGGUGUGUAAACUCCUUUUAUAUGUCAAGAAAAUGACGGUAGCAUAUGAAUAAGCACAGGCUAACUCCGUGCCAGCAGCCGCGGUAAUACGGAGGGUGCAAGCGUUACUCGGAAUCACUGGGCGUAAAGGACGCGUAGGCGGGUUGGAAAGUCAGGUGUGAAAUCCUACAGCUUAACUGUAGAACUGCACUUGAAACUUCUAAUCUAGAGUAUGGGAGGGGGAGAUGGAAUUAGUGGUGUAGGGGUAAAAUCCGUAGAUAUCACUAGGAAUACCUAAAGCGAAGGCGAUCUCCUGGAACAUUACUGACGCUAAGGCGUGAAAGCGUGGGGAGCAAACAGGAUUAGAUACCCCUGUAGUC